rnacentral:rRNA from 1 species
GGCUCAGGAUGAACGCUAGCUACAGGCUUAACACAUGCAAGUCGCGGGGCAGCAUGCGGUUGCUUGCAACCGAUGAUGGCGACCGGCGCACGGGUGAGUAACGCGUAUCCAACCUGCCCUUCACCACGGAAUAAUCCAGUGAAAAUUGGUCUAAUACCGUAUGAGGUCAUACGAUGGCAUCAGAAUAUGACGAAAGGUUUUGGCGGUGAAGGAUGGGGAUGCGUCUGAUUAGCUUGUUGGUGAGGUAACGGCUCACCAAGGCGACGAUCAGUAGGGGUUCUGAGAGGAAGGUCCCCCACAUUGGAACUGAGACACGGUCCAAACUCCUACGGGAGGCAGCAGUGAGGAAUAUUGGUCAAUGGGCGCAAGCCUGAACCAGCCAAGUAGCGUGAGGGAAGACUGCCCUACGGGUUGUAAACCUCUUUUGUUUGGGAAUAAAGUGCGGGACGCGUCCCGCAUUGCAUGUACCAUUUGAAUAAGGACCGGCUAAUUCCGUG